UAAAAAGCCCAAGCUCAGGACUUGUAAUCCCA
rnacentral:piRNA from 1 species